CCCGAGGUAGCUCAACUGGCAGAGUAUCCGGCUCUUACCCGGAGUGUUGCGGGUUCGACUCCCGCCCUCGGGA
rnacentral:tRNA from 1 species